rnacentral:rRNA from 1 species
AUUGAACGCUGGCGGCAGGCCUAACACAUGCAAGUCGAGCGCGAAAACACUUCGGUGUGAGUAGAGCGGCGGACGGGUGAGUAAUGCUUGGGAAUCUGCCCAGUAGUGGGGGAUAACGUGUGGAAACGCACGCUAAUACCGCAUACGUCCUACGGGAGAAAGCAGGGGAUCUUCGGACCUUGCGCUAUUGGAUGAGCCCAAGUCGGAUUAGCUAGUUGGUGGGGUAAUGGCCUACCAAGGCGACGAUCCGUAGCUGGUCUGAGAGGAUGAUCAGCCACACUGGGACUGAGACACGGCCCAG